AUGUCCCAAGCAGGACGUGAGAUUCUAAUCAAGGCGGUGGCGCAGGCCCUACCCACCUUCCUAAGGAGUUUGUUUAAAUUCCCUAGAAGCACCUAUGACGAUUUAGGGUGGAUGAUUCGUAGCUAUUGGUGGGGCGCAUACACAGGCAAGGGGAAAACGCACUUGAAAUCAUGGGACUCGCUUCUGAGGCCCAAAUCGGCUGGGGGUAUGGGAUUCAAGGACUUCAGACUAUUCAACCAAGCAAUGUUAGCUCGGCAAGCAUGGCGUAUUUUGGUCAACCCGGAAUGUCUUUGUGCGCGCUUCUUGAAGGCAAGGUAUUUCCCUAAUGGACGAUUAGAAGAUAUUGUUUUCACUAGCAACGCUUCGCAAACUUGGCAGGCCAUCGUGCAUCGGUUGGAAUUGCUGAAGAAAGGCUUAGUCUGGCGCAUCGGUAACGGGCAGUCGGUCCGAAUUUGGCGGGACUCCUGGAUACCACACCCUGUUGGUCGGCCACCAAUUACCCAACAGGGAAGGUGCUGGCUCCGCCGAGUCUCAAAGCUCCUAGACGAGCAUCGUGCAUGGCGCGGAACCCUACUUCAAUAGUACUUUAUGCCCAUUGAUGUUCAGGAGAUACUAAAGAUUAAAGUGCCUCGGCUGGGGGCAGAUUUCCUUGCAUGGGGUGCAGAACGUACUGGUAUCUUCACCGUACGUAGUGCGUACCGACUGGCGCUUGAGGACAAGCUUCGUGCCUCUUCACUCGCAGCGAGCAGGGCACCGGACGGGCAACGUGCCGUCUGGGCAUUAUUAUAUAUGGAGGUGCCCUGCUCCUCCUAA
rnacentral:rRNA from 1 species